rnacentral:rRNA from 1 species
AACGUAGGGGGCGAGCGUUGUCCGGAAUUACUGGGCGUAAAGAGCUCGUAGGCGGUAGUUCAAGUCAGGUGUGAAAUCCGACGGCUUAACCGGAGGGCUGCACCUGAUACUGGGCUGCUAGAGGUAAGGAGAGGAAGGUGGAAUUUCCUGUGUAGCGGUGAAAUGCGUAGAUAUAGGAAGGAACACCAGUGGCGAAGGCGACCACCUGGGCUAAUACUGACACUGAGGUGCGAGAGCGUGGGGAGCAAACAGG